CAAUAGCUAAACGCACUAUUUUAUAGUGUAGUAUCGACCCUGUCGAAUAAAAUUCUAGGUAGAGUUAUGAUAAUGACAUUAUCUAUCUAUGUGUCUUGACCAAAUUACGUGCCAGCAGUCGCGGUAAUACGUAAAAGACUAGUGUUAUUCAUGAUUAAUAGGUUUAAAGAGUACCUAGACGGUUAAUGAAGCCCCUAAAGGGUACAUAUUAACUAGAGUUAUAUGAAAGGGAGCUUUGAGGUACUGUUGAGUGUAGAGAUGAAAUUCGUUAAUACCAGAUAAGUGGCACGGAUCUAUGCGAAGGCAUCUCCUUAUGUAAUAACUGACGUUGAAGGACGAAGGCUUUUGAAGUGAAGAGGAUUAGAUACCCUAGUAAUCCAAGCAGAAAAUGAUGAAUGUCAUAGGUUGAAUAAUAUAUUUGGUCUAUAAAUGAAAGUGUAAGCAUUCCACCUCAAGAGUAAUUUGGCAACAUUGAAACUGAAAUCAUUAGACCGUAUCUGAAACCAGUAGUGAAGUAUGUUGUUUAAUUAGACGGUCCGCAAAAAACCUUACCACAAUUUGAAUAUAUAUUUUAAUUAAUAUUUACAAGCGUUGCACGGCUGUCUUCAGUUAAUGUCGUGAGAUUUUGGUUAGUUCCAUU
rnacentral:rRNA from 1 species